CACAGGGGAGAGAAUAUUUCCGGCUUUGGGCGCCACACGAAAGCAUCACUUGAAAGAAUCGUAGCUUGUAACUGAAACACGGAUCUGAAAACGGCUCCCUACACUGGACUCCUAAUCCCUGAAAGAGAGGAUCGGAUUUUGCACGGAAUCUGGAAGGAACCUGGAAACAGACCACUGUCCCUCUACCGCUCCAGACAGCAGAUGGAGGCAGACAGUCAAGUUUCGAGAAGUUAGCGAACACCAGCCCGGAGCUGCCAGAGAAGACGCUCGGCGCGCGAGGGGCUGGACCCAGGACGCGCAGCAUCUCUGGGGUCUCGGGCACUGGAACGGCCACCUGUAUCGGGCAUCUGCGGACUUUCUUUCUUUCUUUCCUCAACUUUCCGCACCCCGCGCCCUCCAUCCUCCCCGGGGCUGGUUGCAACCUGCUGGGAGAGGCCGGGUGCCGGCCCCACCCGGCGAGGGGCACUCACCUGCGCGCUUGGCCACUGCAGGGAGGAAGGCAGGCGGGCAGGCGCGAGGCCGGAGCGGCCCGACGGGCCACGCGGGAGCCGGGCCGCCGCGAGGAGCCGGGCCUGGGGAGACGCCGCGGUCGGCAGCCGGGGCACAGUCGGCGCGGCUCGGGCCGCCCGCAGCCUCGCCGCCACGCCCUUGAUGCUCGCGGGAACCGCGGCCUCGGCGGGGGCGCGAGCGGCGUCAGGGCCCAGGCGGGCUGCCGGCGUCGCGCGCGCGCGCGCUGGGCCCGCGCGUCCCCGCCCCGCCCCCUCCCACGACGGAGCGCGCGCGGCGCAGGCGCCCGAAGGCGGCGGCCGGCUGGGGCGCGCCGGGUCCGGAAGCCCGCCGGAAGCGGCCCCGCCCCUCGCGCGCGGCCGUGGGGGCGGGGCGGGGCGGGGGUCUGGCUUCGCGGUGUUUGCUCGUUCCCAGGCUGGGAGGGGGCGCGGGAGCGCUGGGGCCGCGGGCUUUAGGUACCCCGAUGGCAGCACCUUUGGCGCCCUUCUCGUCUCCCACGGUGGCCAGGAAUAGUUUCUCUCCCGCUAGCGGCACGUGUCAGUCACAAGAGGAGUCGGUGGGAGUAUUAGGGACGUUUACUGAGCGCCAGUUACUAUGUACACUGCGCCCGGUGCUUGGCCAGCUUUACCUCGUUUAACCUCACGAACCGGAUAUUAUUAGCUCUUAUAGACGAAGAGGGCUUCCACGUGCUUAAUUGCCCGAGGAGAGGGGGCUAGUAGGUAGCCGAACUCUAGGUAGCCCCGGGUGUGCGGCUCCUGCGCAUCCUGGGCUAUAACCGCGGCGGGCUUCCGCUGCCACCUGCCGCCUCCGCCUCCUCCCCCUCCCUCCCUUGUGUACAAUGUUAAUAACAUUUACAUUUUUAGUGCUUUACUUCCCGUUUACAGAAUACUUUUCUCACGCACGGUCUUGCUUGAUGCACUCAGAAGCCCAGGGAGACAGUGGGACAUAAUUACGCUUAGUUUACAAAUAGAGCAAGUACCUAAGCUGUUCAAUGAGUUGUCCACGGUUAUAAUGGCAGGCCUGGGGCUUUCUUUGGCAGAUAUUAUUAUUUAUUUUAUUUUAUUUUAUUUAUUUUAUUUUAUUUUUUUAUUUUUAUUUUUUUUUUAUAAGUCAUCUGAGCCGAGCUUGGAGGUGAGUUUGUGUCUAUUCCCUUACUCCCUGGAGAGGGAAACAGCCAUAGAACAGGAAAGGAAUUUGUCUUAAGGGUAUGCUGUUGGAAGACAAUCAGUUCUGAUCACCCACCCCUUUGCCUCAGAGGCAAGGUAAAGCAAACUGAAGGUCAAAAUCCUGCAGGCAGUGUUGUAGACACUCAGCCCCCUGGGCAUGGGGGGGGGGGAGAAAAAGGAUUAAGGUGCCUGGGAUACAUCUAAUGGCUGUUAGAUUUACGCUAAGGAAAUGGGGUUGGAUUAUGGUCCAAUCACCCCAACAGUUGACCCUGCACCGUCAGAGAGAUCACCUCUCUUGCUUCCUGCUCACUGCGUCUGUUGUUUCUCCUCCUUACAGUCCUGCUGCCCCUGCUCCCCGCCUUGACCUAACCAAGUUUUUCCCUUUUCUUCAUUUCACAAAUAUUUAUGGAGAGCCACUUCUCUCAUGAAAGUCACCCUAAGAACCGCCCGUAGUAAUUUUUCUUCUCUAGAUGCCACCAACCCAGCAGCUUGGCCAAAAAUUGAGUUUUUAGGUCAAAUGGGCUCGGGAACUAUGGCAUUCUCUACGGCUACCUGCAUGUUAACACAGAAAUGUUUCUGGGAGGUCCUAAGGUAAAAAGACCCAUUUAGCCUCGUUUAUCCCAGAGUUCCCCGUGAGGUAUCAGGCUAGGCAAGGGGCUGUUAAGGAUAUCUUCCACAAAAUCCACCCCUUUAGGAGCUCACAGAGGAGACAGAUAAGCGAAGGACUAAUUGUGAUACAAUUUUACACAUGUGCUAAUAGAGCAUUUGCAAAGCGCUGACAAAACAGACCGAAGUGAGCAAUUCUGCUGAGAAAAAGGAGGGAAAGAUUCGCAGGUAAGACGGUAUUUGAUUAGGAGUUUUCUAGGUGGAGAAUAUGGGAAAGGGCAUUUCGUAGUAACAACAGCGUAUUUACAGACGUGUGAGUAUGUGUUGGUCUUUGGGGGUUGGGAUUAAAUAUUAUUCAAUUAAAAAAA